rnacentral:rRNA from 1 species
UACGGAGGGUGCAAGCGUUAUCCGGAUUCACUGGUUAAAGGGUGCGUAGGUGGGCAGGUAAGUCAGUGGUGAAAUCUCUGGGCUUAACCCAGAAACUGCCGUUGAUACUAUCUGUCUUGAAUGUAGUGGAGGUGAGCGGAAUAUGUCAUGUAGCGGUGAAAUGCUUAGAUAUGACAUAGAACACCUAUUGCGAAGGCAGCUCGCUACACUAUUAUUGACACUGAGGCA